rnacentral:lncRNA from 1 species
UCAGGCAGCUUCGUCCUCCCUGCCUAAUCCUGAUUGUUGUGAUUAGUCCACAGCUAGCGAGCUGGUAGCCAGAGGCGUGGCCAGGGGGGCGUUCCCAGGCAUGAACCAGGGGUGUUCCUAGAGCCUCAGUCUCUUCCUCUUUUGUCAAAUUAUAUAAUGUACUUAUACAAACAUGUAAGCCCGGUUUUGGAAGUGCCGCAAUUUUUAGUUAAAAGCAAACAAGAUGUAUUAUGUAAACCUUAUCAAACCAUCUACUUGUUUUCGUGUUACUUCAAUACUUUCUUUCCUCAUAAUUCGCCACAUAUUGUUGGUUAAAAAUAGGACUUUGUCCAAAAUCUUCUUUGUUCUCUGUUUUCACCUAAACCGCGGCUCUAAUUGUUAACCUCAGGCUAACAUUAAGCCUUUUAUAUCCAGUGCUUGUCUCGUGUAUUUUGUUUAUCAGGCUUUAUAGCAGUUAUUGGUUUUUAUCUAGUUUAUUCCGACGUCGGACAAAUCUACGAAAUUCUCAACAAGAAAAUGGCGCAUUUUUCCUCUUAUUGUUGAAUGCAUUUAUUCUCCUGUUGAUUUUAUCAUAUCAAAACUUUGUUAACACUUUCUUGUCCAAUCUCUCUAAUCAAAUGUGUAACAAAUAUUGUUCUAAAUGUUCAAUUAGGAGGUUAUAUUGUGAAACAAUUUUAUGGAGGGAAAAAACAUGUGAUGGUUUAUUAUAUAUGUUCCUUAUAAAUUUUAACAUUCCAAAUUUGCAUUUAACAGUGGUUUUACUACUUACGUCAUACGUGUUAAAUUUAAUCAUUUGAAAUUUGAUGAAUCAAUUUGUAUUCUGAUUUUUUUAAGGGAAAAGGGGCAAAGGUGAAGGGUUUGAUAAUAUUCCAAGCAUUCAAUAUAUUUUUCACUGUUUCAAGUAGCUGAAAGUAAUAGCUUUAGAACCAAUUUAUUCUGAACCAAUAAGAAUUCAGUGCAGAUAUUCUGAACCAAUAAGAAUUCAGUGCACAUAUUCUGAACCAAUAAGAAUUCAGUUUACAUAUUCUGAACUACUAAGAAUUUUGAAAUUUUCUUAUGCUAGAUGACAUUUUAAAGCAUCGUAACAAACCAUAUAUUAAAAUCGGGGUUUAAUCAAGGAGUAAGAUAAUUCCGAACACAUCAUUAAGUACAAUUACUGUUAAACAUUUAAAACCCAAAAAAUUAUAAUUAGGGAUUAUUAGCCAGGCUUUCAACUUUAAUGUUUUCUGUGUUCAGUGUCUCAAUCCUGAUGUUGUAGUCCCGCCCUUCAUCCAUCAGUUCAUUUCAAUUAGGGUUUCCAACGCAAGUGGAUUUUGCUUACUCGUAAUUGCGAGCCCUGUAAACUCCUCGCAAUUUCGCGCAAUUCAAGAAUAGUUGCGCGCAAUUCGAGAACAGUUGGGCGCAACUCCGCGCAACAGAAUUGCGAUUGGAAACCCUAAUUUCAUUUGAUAUUUUAUCGAUAUUUUAACUUAAAUGGGGUUUCACUAGAUAUUUUUAAGAUAUUUUUUAACACUCAUCGCUAUUUAAAUAAAGUUUUCUCCACUAAUUCAUAAUUGGAUUUAAAAUGUUCCAACAUUUGAAUACGAUUUUAAAAUCUGACUAAUUUUGUUUUAAUUACAAAUUAUCUGCAUUUUGUAACACUUCAAGCUUCCAAAAAGUCCACUCACUUUACUAAAAUGUUUUUUGCUUUAUUUUUUCUUUUCUUUUCGCUCUCUGUAUGGAUCUCAGUCGUCAAUUAGUUUCUGAAAAGAGUUUCUUUUCUAUGGAAAAUAAUUGGCCUCUAGAUUGAUGAAAACCAAACGGCUUGCAUUGCUUUGUGCACUCACCAAUUCGUAUACAGCUUUAAAGCAUUGGUGUUUUCGACCUGGGCACGAGUCCAUAUAUCCUAUUCAGUCUCUCUGUGUGGCAUUAAUUUCUCCUUAACACGUGUAUUACUGUUAUGUACAAUUUAAACAAUAAAUAUUUAUCGUCUUAUAAAA